rnacentral:rRNA from 1 species
CGCUGGCGGCGUGCUUAACACAUGCAAGUCGAACGAGGAUAGUGAGAGCUUGUUCUGGCUAUCGAGUGGCGGACGGGUGAGUAACGCGUGAGCAACCUGUCUCACACAGGGGAAUAACGCAUCGAAAGAUGUGCUAAUACCGCAUAGGACCACGGGAGGACAUCCUUCUGAGGUGAAAGGAGUAAUCCGGUGUGAGGUGGGCUCGCGUCUGAUUAGAUAGUUGGUGAGGUAACGGCCCACCAAGUCAACGAUCAGUAGCCGACCUGAGAGGGUGAUCGGCCACAUUGGGACUGAGACACGGCCCAGACUCCUACGGGAGGCAGCAGUGGGGAAUAUUGGGCAAUGGGCGCAAAGCCUGACCCAGCAACGCCGCGUGAAGGAAGAAGGUUUUCGGAUCGUAAACUUCUGUCCUUGGUGAAGAGGUAGAGACGGUAGCCAAGGAGGAAGCCCCGGCUAACUACGUGCCAGCCGCUGC